GAAUGUAACUGACACUGAGGCACGAAAGCUGGGGGAGCAAACAGGAUUAGAUACCCUGGUAGUCCCAGCCCUAAACGGUGCGCACUUGGUGUUGGGGGAAUUGACCCCCCCAGUGCCGGAGCUAACGCGUUAAGUGCGCCGCCUGGGGAGUACGGUCGCAAGAUUAAAACUCAAAGAAAUUGACGGGGGCCCGCACAAGCGGAGGAGCAUGUGGCUCAAUUCGAUGCAACGCGAAGAACCUUACCUGGGCUUGACAUGUAGCUGCAGGCCCGCUGAAAGGCGGGCGGCCUUCGAGGGUGCUACACAGGUGCUGCAUGGCUGUCGUCAGUUCGUGCCGUGAGGUGUUGGGUUAAGUCCCGCAACGAACGCAACCCCUAUGUCUAGUUGCCACCGCCGGUGAUGAGCCGGCGAGCACUCUAAACAGACUGCCCGUACAAGCGGGAGGAAGGUGGGGAUGACGUCAAGUCAGUAUGGCCCUUACGUCCAGGGCUGCACACGUGCUACAAUGGUCGGUACAAAGGGACGCAAAGCCGCGAGGUGGAGCAAAUCCUCAAAACCGGCCUCAGCUCGGAUUGAAGGCUGCAACUCGCCUUCAUGAAGCUGGAUUCGCUAGUAACGGCGCAUCAGCUACGGCGCCGUGAAUACGUUCCCGGGCCUUGUACACACCGCCCGUCACAUCAUGAAAGCCGUCUGCACCUUAAGUUGCUGAUCCAACCCGCAAGGGAGGAAGGUACCCAAGGUGUGGGUGG
rnacentral:rRNA from 1 species